UACGGAGGAUGCGAGCGUUAUCCGGAUUUAUUGGGUUUAAAGGGUGCGUAGGCGGACGCUUAAGUCAGCGGUAAAAUUGCGGGGCUCAACCUCGUCGAGCCGUUGAAACUGGGUGCCUUGAGUGGGCGAGAAGUACGCGGAAUGCGUGGUGUAGCGGUGAGAUGCAUAGAUAUCACGCAGAACUCCGAUUGCGAAGGCAGCGUACCGGCGCCCUACUGACGCUGAAGCACGAAGGCGUGGGUAUCGAACAGG
rnacentral:rRNA from 1 species